AUACGAAGGGGGCUAGCGUUGUUCGGAAUCACUGGGCGUAAAGCGCGCGUAGGUGGAUCAAUUAGUUGAGGGUGAAAUCCCGGGGCUCAACCUCGGAACUGCCUUCAAUACUGUUGAUCUUGAGACCGAGAGAGGUGAGUGGAAUUCCUAGUGUAGAGGUGAAAUUCGUAGAUAUUAAGAAGAACACCAGUGGCGAAGGCGGCUCACUGGCUCGGUACUGACGCUGAGGUGCGAAAGCGUGGGGAGCAAACAGGAUUAGAAACCCUAGUAGUCC
rnacentral:rRNA from 1 species